GACGAACGCGGCGGCGUGCAUAAUACAUGCAAGUAGAACGCUGAAGGAGGAGCUUGCUUCUCUGGAUGAGUUGCGAACGGGUGAGUAACGCGUAGGUAACCUGCCUGGUAGCGGGGGAUAACUAUUGGAAACGAUAGCUAAUACCGCAUAAGAGUAGAUGUUGCAUGACAUUUACUUAAAAGGUGCAAUUGCAUCACUACCAGAUGGACCUGCGUUGUAUUAGCUAGUUGGUGGGGUAACGGCUCAUCAAGGCGACGAUACAUAGCCGACCUGAGAGGGUGAUCGGCCACACUGGGACUGAGACACGGCCCAGACUCCUACGGGAGGCAGCAGUAGGGAAUCUUCGGCAAUGGACGGAAGUCUGACCGAGCAACGCCGCGUGAGUGAAGAAGGUUUUCGGAUCGUAAAGCUCUGUUGUAAGAGAAGAACGAGUGUGAGAGUGGAAAGUUCACACUGUGACGGUAUCUUACCAGAAAGGGACGGCUAACUACGUGCCAGCAGCCGCGGUAAUACGUAGGUCCCGAGCGUUGUCCGGAUUUAUUGGGCGUAAAGCGAGCGCAGGCGGUUAGAUAAGUCUGAAGUUAAAGGCUGUGGCUUAACCAUAGUACGCUUUGGAAACUGUUUAACUUGAGUGCAAGAGGGGAGAGUGGAAUUCCAUGUGUAGCGGUGAAAUGCGUAGAUAUAUGGAGGAACACCGGUGGCGAAAGCGGCUCUCUGGCUUGUAACUGACGCUGAGGCUCGAAAGCGUGGGGAGCAAACAGG
rnacentral:rRNA from 1 species